GUGAGAUUCUGAGCAUUAGCCCCUGGCUAAUGAAACACUGAAAGCAGGACAAGUUGUUCUGGGUGAUGUGCGAGCAAAGAAACUGAGUUUCCUCCUGUUGGUAACCUCUAUGUCUUCUUUGUUUCACUCAUAGCAGCUCCGUUAGGCCAUAGAGGCAGCAAGUGCUGUUGGGUGCCUGUAGGCAGACAUCGGUCCUGUUGGCAGCCUGGCUGAUUCCUGCAAAAUGAUACUUUCAGAGAAGUGUGACACUGAAUAUAAUUAAAAAGAAACCUUUGCAGAAGACAUUAAAAUCAUAAAAUACUUGGAAAAAACUGUGAAUAAAGGACCACAAGUGGAAUGGGACUUCUGACGGAGCUCCUCUGGGUCACAUGGAAGUUAGAAGUUUGAAACAAUUGGGGGGUGCAUGUGUCUGGGUUUAUGUGAACUUGAGCUACCCACCUUGAUUGUGACAGAUGAGGGCAAGAACUUUCGCACCACUUGGGUGCCUUGUAUCCCUCAUCAGCAUGAACCUCCCAGGCAAGUGGUGCACCUCUUGCUCAUGGGUGCCAGAGAAGGCAGGUUU